AUAGAGUGGAUGUGGAGAGGAUGUUUCCAUUGAUAAAAAUAAUAAUACUUUAUUGUCAUUGUAAAUACAUACAACGAAAUUUCAGGCGCCUGCCUGAGCGGAGCUCCAACAUAUCAGAUAAAUAAUAACGACAAUGGAAACAAUAAAAGAUUAGAGAUACAGCGCGGA